AUUGAACGCUGGCGGCAUGCCUUACACAUGCAAGUCGAACGGCAGCACGGGAGCAAUCCUGGUGGCGAGUGGCGAACGGGUGAGUAAUAUAUCGGAACGUGCCCAGUCGUGGGGGAUAACGUAGCGAAAGUUACGCUAAUACCGCAUACGAUCUAAGGAUGAAAGUGGGGGAUCUUCGGACCUCAUGCUCAUGGAGUGGCCGAUAUCUGAUUAGCUAGUUGGUGAGGUAAAGGCUCACCAAGGCGACGAUCAGUAGCUGGUUUGAGAGAACGACCAGCCACACUGGAACUGAGACACGGUCCAGACUCCUACGGGAGGCAGCAGUGGGGAAUUUUGGACAAUGGGGGCAACCCUGAUCCAGCAAUGCCGCGUGAGUGAAGAAGGCCUCGGGUUGGUAAAGGUACUCUUUUGUUCUAGGGAAGGAAACGGUAGAGUCUAAUACAGC
rnacentral:rRNA from 1 species